UACGUAGGGGGCAAGCGUUGUCCGGAAUCAUUGGGCGUAAAGAGCGUGUAGGCGGCUUGGUAAGUCCGCUGUGAAAGUCCAGGGCUCAACCCUGGAAUGCCGGUGGAAACUGUCAGGCUCGAGUCCGGAAGAGGCGAGUGGAAUUCCUGGUGUAGCGGUGAAAUGCGCAGAUAUCAGGAAGAACACCCGUGGCGAAGGCGGUUCUCUGGGACGGUACUGACGCUGAGACGCGAAAGCGUGGGGAGCGAACAGG
rnacentral:rRNA from 1 species